rnacentral:rRNA from 1 species
AGUGAACGCUGGCGGUAGGCCUAACACAUGCAAGUCGAACGGCAGCACAGGAGAGCUUGCUCUCUGGGUGGCGAGUGGCGGACGGGUGAGGAAUACAUCGGAAUCUACCUUUUCGUGGGGGAUAACGUAGGGAAACUUACGCUAAUACCGCAUACGACCUACGGGUGAAAGUGGGGGACCGCAAGGCCUCACGCGAUUAGAUGAGCCGAUGUCCGAUGAGCUAGUUGGCGGGGUAAUGGCCCACCAAGGCGACGAUCGGUAGCUGGUCUGAGAGGAUGAGCAGCCACACUGGAACUGAGACACGGUCCAGGCGCCUACGGGAGGCAGCAGUGGGGAAUAUGGGACAAUGGGCGCAAGCCUGAUCCAGCCAUACCGCGUGGGUGAAGAAGGCCUUCGGGUUGUAAAGCCCUUUUGUUGGGAAAGAAAUCCUGUCGAUUAAUACUCGGUGGGGAUGACGGUACCCAAAGAAUAAGCACCGGCUAACUUCGUGCCAGCAGCCGCAGUAACAC